CUACGGGCCGCUGCAGUGGGGAAUAUUGCACAAUGGGCGCAAGCCUGAUGCAGCCAUGCCGCGUGUAUGAAGAAGGCCUUCGGGUUGUAAAGUACUUUCAGCGGGGAGGAAGGGAGUAAAGUUAAUACCUUUGCUCAUUGACGUUACCCGCAGAAGAAGCACCGGCUAACUCCGUGCCAGCAGCCGCGGUAAUACGGAGGGUGCAAGCGUUAAUCGGAAUUACUGGGCGUAAAGCGCACGCAGGCGGUUUGUUAAGUCAGAUGUGAAAUCCCCGGGCUCAACCUGGGAACUGCAGCUGAUACUGGCAAGCUUGAGUCUCGUAGAGGGGGGUAGAAUUCCAGGUGUAGCGGUGAUAUGCGUAGAGAUCUGGAGGAAUACCGGUGGCGAAGGCGGCCCCCUGGACGAAGACUGACGCUCAGGUGCGAAAGCGUGGGGAGCAAACAGGAUUAGAUACCCCAGUAGUC
rnacentral:rRNA from 1 species